CAGCAUAUAUGCUCUUGGUGCGCCGCAACUCGCAAUGAGUACGCGACGCCCCGGGAAUGCGGGGCAAUAUAUAUAGAAUUACCCAUCUUCCCUCAUAUUUAAAAUAUAUUUACUUUCAUUACGCCUUUAGGUUUAUUAUAAUCCUCAUGACUCGCAUAUAUGCUAGACUCCUUGGUCCGUGUUUCAAGACGGGUCCUGUGAUUACCCAAAAUCAUAAACCCCAUUGACAGAUGUUUUAAUGAAUCUGUUCGAGAACACUAUGACUAACAAUAUAAUAUCUGUAGAACCAAUAUUUCACUUAAUUUCUACAAUUUUAAUAAUAUAACUAUUUGUCAUAGAUCUGAACAUAUACACACCCUAGUGAAUGAUUCAACAUCUAAUAUAUACCAUCGGGUGGAUGUCAGGUUAAUUAUAUGUCCGGAUCGCACAAGUUAUUAACUUGACGUCACGGUCUACCAUAAUAUUUAAGCCUUAGACAACAUAACAAACCCAAUGAGUCAUGACGUCACUACAAGGGAAGAAGUGCAUGCCUCCGUUUAUAAAAUUUGGACAUAAAACAGUGGAGCAAUAUAAUAUACAACGGUAAAAAACCGUAGUCAUAUAAUGUCACAUAUAAUAAAUUAUUAACACUGUUAAAUGUUUAUAUGCGGCGAGGCAAUUGAAUCUCCCCGUUCGUAUUUUCGGGUACCACAGGUUUACCCCUGAACAGUUUCACGUACUAUUGAACUCUCUCUUCAAAGUUCUUUUCAACUUUCCCUCACGGUACUUGUUUUCUAUCGGUUUCACAGUAAUAUUUAGCCUUAGAUGGAGUUUACCACCCACUUAGAGCUGCAUUCUCAAGCAACCCGACUCUAAGGAGAAACCCACCCAAACAUAUAAACGGUCAUUACAGGCCUGGCACCCUCUACGGGCUAAUGGCCCCCUUCAAGAAGGACUUGGACGCGCUUAUAAAUACUUAGGUUAAACGGGUUCUCCCAAACACUACAUUGCCCGACAAUUGUUUCCAACUAUGGGCUUCAGUGCUGGGCUUCUCCCUGUUCGCUCGCCGCUAUUAAGGG
rnacentral:rRNA from 1 species